rnacentral:pre_miRNA from 1 species
AGUAUUACAGCUCUUUCCAAAGCCCGUAUUUGAUAACUUUGGCAAGAUUUGUAAAUACUAG